rnacentral:snoRNA from 1 species
GUUGGCAUUCAUCGAAGCCACAUUGUUUUUUCUUGAACAAUGAGGUCAAAAUUGUGCCUACAUCAUCAUCCCUAGACGGUCGCAGCUCAUGCUUGAAACAUGGGUUGCAUACACAAAUGGGGAUACAGUA